rnacentral:rRNA from 1 species
GAUGAACGCUAGCGACAGGCUUAACACAUGCAAGUCGAGGGGUAACAGGGGGGCUUGCUCCCGCUGACGACCGGCGCACGGGUGAGUAACGCGUAUGCAACCUUCCCGCAGGAUCGGGAUAGCCCCCCGAAAGGGGGAUUAACACCGGAUGUGGUGGUUCGGGGGCAUCCCCGAGUCACUAAAUGCGAAGCUUGCGGAUGGGCAUGCGUCCCAUUAGGAAGCCGGCGGGGUAACGGCCCACCGGUCCUACGAUGGGUAGGGGUUCUGAGAGGAAGGUCCCCCACACUGGUACUGAGACACGGACCAG